rnacentral:rRNA from 1 species
UACGGGGGGGGCAAGCGUUGUUCGGAAUUAUUGGGCGUAAAGAGCUCGUAGGCGGCUUGUCGCGUCGAAUGUGAAAACCCGAGGCUCAACCUCGGGCUUGCAUUCGAUACGGGCAGGCUAGAGUUCGGUAGGGGAGACUGGAAUUCCUGGUGUAGCGGUGAAAUGCGCAGAUAUCAGGAGGAACACCGGUGGCGAAGGCGGGUCUCUGGGCCGAUACUGACGCUGAGGAGCGAAAGCGUGGGGAGCGAACAGG